UACGUAGGGUGCAAGCGUUGUCCGGAAUUAUUGGGCGUAAAGAGCUCGUAGGCGGUCUGUCGCGUCGGAUGUGAAAAUCCAGGGCUCAACCCUGGACCUGCAUUCGAUACGGGCAGACUAGAGUUCGGUAGGGGAGAGUGGAAUUCCUGGUGUAGCGGUGAAAUGCGCAGAUAUCAGGAGGAACACCCGUGGCGAAGGCGGCUCUCUGGGACGGUACUGACGCUGAGACGCGAAAGCGUGGGGAGCGAACAGG
rnacentral:rRNA from 1 species